AGCGAACGCUGGCAGCAGGCCUAACACAUGCAAGUCGAACGAACCUUUCGGGGUUAGUGGCGGACGGGGGAGUAACACGUGGGAACGUGCCUUUAGGUUCGGAAUAACUCAGGGAAACUUGUGCUAAUACCGAAUGUGCCCUUCGGGGGAAAGAUUUAUCGCCUUUAGAGCGGCCCGCGUCUGAUUAGCUAGUUGGUUGAGGUAAUGGCUCACCAAGGCGACGAUCAGUAGCUGGUCUGAGAGGAUGAUCAGCCACAUUGGGACUGAGACACGGCCCAGACUCCUACGGGAGGCGGCAGUGGGGAAUCUUGCGCAAUGGGCGAAAGGCUGACGCAGCCAUGCCGCGUGAAUGAUGAAGGUCUUAGGAUUGUAAAAUUCUUUCACCGGGGACGAUAAUGACGGUACCCGGAGAAGAAGCCCCGGCUAACUUCGUG
rnacentral:rRNA from 1 species